rnacentral:rRNA from 1 species
GCCUGGUAGUGGGGGACAACGUUUCGAAAGGAACGCUAAUACCGCAUACGUCUCUACGGGAGAAAGCAGGGGACCUUCGGGCCUUGCGCUAUCAGAUGAGCCUAGGUCGGAUUAGCUAGUUGGUGAGGUAAUGGCUCACCAAGGCGACGAUCCGUAACUGGUCUGAGAGGAUGAUCAGUCACACUGGAACUGAGACACGGUCCAGACUCCUACGGGAGGCAGCAGUGGGGAAUAUUGGACAAUGGGCAAAAGCCGGAUCCAGCCAUGCCGCGUGUGUGAAGAAGGUCUUCGGAUUGUAAAGCACUUUAAGUUGGGAGGAAGGGCAGUAACUUAAUACGUUGCUGUUUUGACGUUACCGACAGAAUAAGCACCGGCUAACUCUGUGCCAGCAGCCGCGGUAAUACAGGGGGUGCAAGCGUUAAUCGGAAUUACUGGGCGUAAAGCGCGCGUAGGUGGUUUGUUAAGUUGGAUGUG